AUUUACAAACAAGUUCAUACUAGGCAACUUUUGCUGUAACCCGUGGGCUAAAAGUAGCCUAGUAUGAACUUGUUUGUAAAUACUACUUAUUACUAGGUAUCUAUUGAAGUAAUUACAAUGACCUGUUGCCCAUGUAUCUUGAAAAACAGACUAACAACCGUGAAAAAGUUGUGAGAAUCCCAAUCUAAAUUAACCUUUUGCAUUGUACAUCAUUUGAUGAGCAAAAACAAGGAGAGAAAGAUGAGAGGAAACUGUAUUAGCCUGUUAAAAUUAGAAUUAAAUGAGCUUCUUUUUCUCGAAAAAGGUCUUCAGGUGCCAUACUUGCAAGCCUGCCACUGAUAGACAAAUAAGAAGUGAAAGAAAACUGAACCAGCCCAUUCUUGAGCUAGUAGCUCGAUUCAACUCUUGCAUUUCUUCUUCCCUUUCACGGAGAUAAUACAUCUCCUCCUGAAUAGAUAUAACCGUAUCAUGCAUCUUCUUCAGCUCUAAUUCCAUCAAAUCAAUAGAGCCUUUCUUGGCAACAUUAGUCCAGUCCUUAGCAGCCACACCAGUCUUCCAAUCAAAAUCUACAGUCAACGUAACUUCGGGCUUGUGAUCUGCCGCCCAGAAACAUACCAUGUAAUCCCCGGCCUCCGCCGCCGUAAACGCGAACUGCCCCGAUCCCACAUGGUCCGCAUAGUGAUAACUAUUCCCAUAACUCGACGUCACCCUGGCGGUGAGCUUGUGGGACUCCGGCAAAGGCUGGCCUUCGUGGGGGUUAACGAUGCUAUACUUGCCAACAGUCAUGGAAUUGCUUUUAAUAUCCUCUGAAAUGCACUUGGUGUGCCCAGAUUGCAGCUCGAAUCGAAGGGAUUGUGAUGUAGAGGAUAAAAUUCCAAGGAGUGUUAUUAUUGCAAUAACAGAAACCUGUAAUAUAGCCAUAAUCGCUGUCUUUUUAGCAGAGAGAGAAAAAUGGGUUUGUGUUUUGAUGAGGACUUUCAAGUGAAUGCCAGAAUCGAAUCGCGAUUGCUUGAAUUCCGG
rnacentral:misc_RNA from 1 species